CUUGACUGACUUAUCAUUUGAAAUUUAAAAAAGCGAGCGACUUGAAAUUUUGAAAGCAUCAAUUUCUGGAAAAGAUCUUGUCCUUCGCACGGUCAUUAUAUCAUAUAGUGGAUAUGAGGACACCGUCUUGACGAUCCAAUUAAUUCUAAAAAAAGCCGCGUCUUCUCUUAAAACUUUGCUGCUGAGAGCCCAAGUGCCAUCUAUGUUGUCGCACGUUCAGCAAUAUCGAGUUUUGAAUGAGUGGCACCGGUAUGCAUAACAAUAAUGUACCUAUAACAAUAACGAAUGAUAAAACAGCGAGGAAAUGAAGGUAGCAACGUUGACUCAGGUCUCGUUACAGUCGAAGACAGUGCAGCCACACCUACGAUCCAAACAAUACGGAAUUGAUGCUCGACACAAGGGAUUGAUUGGUUCGGUCAUUUUGUUAUUGUAUUUAUUCUACGUGAGUAUAUGUUAAAAGAAGAAGUGGCUGGGUAGAGUAAUUAUCACGAUACUAUAAGUGUCGCUUUAAUCCGACCAAAGUGGAAAUGUGGUGGCGGAUUCUGGUAGAUUUUCCUGACCCAGUAUUUUGACGACCUUAUCGGACAGUUUUAUGAAGGAAAAUGGCGAUAACGUUUCAGCAGGUUUACGGAAUCUCAUAUCAUCUCAUUAGUCAGUUUAUCAAGAUCGCAUGUGCCUCUUUCGUUCGCAACUUUUGACAGAUACUAAAAUUUUAUAGUACAACAGCAGAUUAUAAUAUACAAUGCUUUUCAAAUGGAGUACAAAAUCCCGGGUGAAAAAGCCACGUUCACCAGCCACAGUACUACACAAGGGUGAAUUGCCAAUAGACCUUCACAAUAAUUCUAGCACAAUACAUUCUUUCCUUUCAACGUGAUCAUGACAAUGAUAGAAAGAUAUCAUGGUACGCCCGAACGUGCAUUCGAGACGGAGUCGAACUUAUACACGUGAUGCAACCGGCUGACCAAAUGCUCCUAAAAAAACUGCGUUGGUUCUCGAAUAAAGAGCUUGAACAUUGACUUGCUAUGCUACUAUUAACCCGUGGACCCACCAUAAAUACCUAAUAUCGUUAAUAUCGACAAAGUCGGUAUCGGAAUAAGAAGCGGCGACGAGCGCAGACAUUUAUUAGUAUACUUAUUGGAAAGGAGCAAAGGCACGGAAAGUAUUUUCAAUUAACGAAAUCGCUCGAAACGAUAAAAUACGUCAAUACAACAACGUAAUAUCGACGUUUCGAGUAAACUGAAGAAUAGAGGGCAAAGCCAGGCGCCGAUACUCGCGGCUAUAAGUAAUAAUGAAAGAAAUGGUCUGGACAAACCGCCAUGAUGUUCGAGAGAGAGAAAGAGAGAAAGAGAGAUAGAGUGAACAGAGACCCAGGACGAAUAGCCCAUAACAAUUUGGGCGAGCACGGGCCUCUAGCUACGAGCCGCGUAAAUAGAGCAAGAAGGAUAGAUAAGGGCUGUGGAAGAUCAAGGAAGCGUCCAUAGCCAUGGAACGUGCUUCCGAAAGUUGCCAGUAUUCUUAUGAUUUUAUGAAAUAUGCUUUCCUUGACUUCCUGUAAUUUAAGAUGAAAAAUUCAACUGCAACACUGACAUCCAAGGUAUCGAGUAGUUGUUUGUCCGAGACACGAGUAGCCUAGUGCAUCCUGGUAAAUUAGACAUCAAAAUAAAUACGUGGCCAUAUGAGCUCGUACGUGAAUACAUGAUAGGCGACAAUUUGAAACAAUUAGAGUUACGUGGAUUACAUUGAUCCGACUAGGGUAGAGGAGUGAGGGAGAAAAUUCGCAAUUAUUCAAUCAGUUGCUCGAGCGUUUUAAGCAUC